CCUACGGGAGGCAGCAGUGAGGAAUAUUGGUCAAUGGGCGGGAGCCUGAACCAGCCAAGCCGCGUGAGGGAAGAAGGUACAGCGUAUCGUAAACCUCUUUUGUCAGGGAACAAAGGCGGGGACUAGUCCCCGGAUGAGGGUACCUGAAGAAACAGCAUCGGCUAACUCCGUGCCAGCAGCCGCGGUAAUACGGAGGAUGCGAGCGUUAUCCGGAUUUAUUGGGUUUAAAGGGUGGGCAGGCGGCCUGUUAAGUCAGCGGGAAAAGCCCGGGGCUCAACCCCGGCGAGCCGUUGAAACUGGCGGGCUGGAGUGGGAGAGAGGUACGCGGAAUGCGCGGUGUAGCGGUGAAAUGCUUAGAUAUCGCGCAGAACCCUGAUUGCGAAGGCAGCGUACCGGCUCCACACUGACGCUGAGGCACGAAAGCGUGGGUAUCGAACAGGAUUAGAUACCCCUGUAGUC
rnacentral:rRNA from 1 species